rnacentral:lncRNA from 1 species
UUGGUGAUGAAAAGAAAUUGUAAGCUAAGCUAGUUUAUGGUUUAGUUAUCUCAGAGAAGAAGUCAAUUUAAGAUGUGAUAUAAGAUAUUAGAGAAAACCAAAAAUAUAUUGGUCGUAUGCAUCUAUGUAUAUGUGUCGUUAAUUAUAGGAAUAAAAAAAUAAUGGCAUUAGUAUUUACUUUUUUCAUCAGUAUUGCAUAAAACUUUCUUUAUCUAUUGGAGUUGACCCUAGUAAUCGAAAGAUUGUUAAUUUUUCACUGUGGUAGAGGUGUUUGAACAUAUUUUUUAAUUCAAUAUAUAUUUCAGUUUGGAUACAUAGUGUAAAAGAUGUGCAAUUUGGUUUAUUUU